UAAAGUGCUUAUAGUGCAGGUAGUGUUCACUAAUCUACUGCAUUAUAAGCACUUAAAGU
rnacentral:pre_miRNA from 3 species